rnacentral:rRNA from 1 species
AGCAGCCGCGGUAAUUCCAGCUUCAAUAGCGUAUAUUAAAGUUGCUGCAGUUAAAAAGCUCGUAGUUGAAUUUCGGGACUAAUAUGUCGGUCGUGCCUCGGUACGUACUGGUAUUUUUGGUUUCUCCCUUCUGACGAACCUUGAUGUCAUUAAUUUGGUGUCUUGGGAAAUCAGGACUGUUACUUUGAAAAAUUAGAGUGUUUAAAGCAGGCUCACGCUUGAAUACAUUAGCAUGGAAUAAUGAAAUAGGACGUUUGAUUCUAUUUUGUUGGUUUCUAGGAUUGACGUAAUGAUUAGUAGGGAUAGUUGGGGGCAUUAGUAUUCAAUUGUCAGAGGUGAAAUUCUUGGAUUUAUUGAAGACUAACUACUGCGAAAGCAUUUGCCAAGGAUGUUUUCAUUAAUCAAGAACGAAAGUUAGGGGAUCGAAGACGAUCAGAUACCGUCGUAGUCUUAACCAUAAACUAUGCCGACUAGGGAUCGGAUGAUGUUAAUUUUUAAUGACUCA